UAUGGUUCCUUAGAUCUCCGGUUUUCUACUCGGAUAACCCUGGAAAAUCUAUGGCUAAUACGUUAAAAAGUAGCUCCAACCCUUUGGGAAGGAGCGUUCUUGUUAGAUCAAAACCAAUCGGGGCUUCGGCUCCGUUUACUGGUGAAUCUAAACAAUUUUGAGCAGAUCGCACGGUCUUGUACUGGCGACGACUCUUUCAAAUAUCUGCCUUAUCAACUCGAUGGUAGGUUAUGUGCCUACCAUGGUUGUAACGGGUAACGGAAAAUCAGGGUUUGAUACCGGAGAGGGAGCCUGAGAAACGGCUACCACAUCCAAGGAAGGCAGCAGGCACGCAAAUUACCCAAUCCCGGCUCGGGGAGGUAGUGACGAAAAAUAACAAUACGGGACUCAUCCGAGGCCCCGUAAUUGGAAUGACUACAAUUUAAAUCCUUUAAGAAGGAUCCAUUGGAGGGCAAGUCUGGUGCCAGCAGCCGCGGUAAUUCCAGCUCCAAUAGCGUAUAUUAAAGUUGCUGCAGUUAAAAAGCUCGUAGUUGGAUCUCAGUUACAGUCAGGUGGUUCACUUUACAGUGCUACUGCUUGAACUGAACCUAUUGCUGGAUCUCUUGGGUGCCCUUCACUGGGUGCCCCUUGAGACCAGAACGUUUACUUUGAGAAAAUUAGAGUGCUCAAAGCAGGCGAAUGCCUGGAUACUUGUGCAUGGAAUAAUGAAAUAUGGUCUCGGUGCUGUUUUAUUGGUUUACAGUGCUCGAGGUAAUGGUUGAAAGGGACAGACGGGGGCAUUCGUAUUGCGACGUUAGAGGUGAAAUUCUUAGAUCGUCGCAAGACGGACUACUGCGAAAGCAUUUGCCAAGAAUGUCUUCAUUAAUCAAGAACGAAAGUCAGAGGUUCGAAGGCGAUCAGAUACCGCCCUAGUUCUGACCUUAAACGAUGCUAACUGGCGAUCCAGUGGGGGUAUUUAAAUGACCUGCUGGGCAGCUUCUGG
rnacentral:rRNA from 1 species